AUCGCUUCUCGGCCUUUUGGCUAAGAUCAAGUGUAGUAUCUUCUGUUGCUAAAUAUUUAAUCCAUUUUAAUCUAAACUAUUAUGAAGAAAUCUAUUAUGCAUGGGUUUUUCUGAGAUAUAAAUAGUGUAACUUUGAGAUUCUGAGUUGUUUUGUGUUCCUGCUAAACAAACACAUGCGCAUGCAUGC